GCUUUGACUCCUUUUAAUCCUCAAAUGGUAUUAGCCUCAUUUUGCAGUUUGAGGAAUGAGCUCAGAGAUGUUAAAGUGACAGGCCCAGAACUUGAAUCCACAUCUUCUAGUGACAAAUUCCUGUUUACUUCACUAUUACAUUGCUGUUUUUAAGCAGCUUUUUCCAGUGGGGACGUUGCUGUGGGGAAGAGAAGUCUUUGACCAAAGUGAUCAUCACCUGUAAUGUCCACCUGAUGCCACCAGGGUGUCCCAUGGUACUGUCUUUGAUUCAUGUUCUUAUCUGGGUUGCUGAGGGCUGUUUGAAAGCUGGUGUUAAUCUAGUUACAGCGGCCAUGGCCCAGAGCCCAGUAGCAAGAAAGUGGUGUGCCUAGCUCCCUGGUCUUCCAGUAUGCAGUGCACGGCCAGCAUCAGAGAGGCCCUUGCCCUCUUUGGACCCUUGCUGGUCAGGCUGGCCCCACGGGACAGCAGGUCAGACAGCAGCCUGGGCUUGGCUAGCCACUCUUUCUAGGCAGCAGCCUCAUGAAGAACAGUAGCAAAAAAGAAUCCUGUGAAUGAGUAAAUGUUUACAAACAUCAGCAUUUGUUUUGUUAGCAAAUUAGUGUUAGCAAAAUAGAUCUGAAAUUCAAAACCGGAUUGAACUGCUUUACCACUGUAGGUAGAAGAGUUUUAAAAGCCAAUGCAUGGUGACAUGGCACUUUCUAAUUUGGAAUAAUAGUCUGCAUUACACUCAGCCCUGAGCAUACAACCUCUUAGGCAUCAGUUUUGAUAUUCAGCAACCCUGGGUGACAAUCUUUAUCACUUAUGUGAGAAUCAAGGAGAUAAAGCCUCAUAUAGUAUCAGAGCAAGUAGCCCCUUUAAAAUUUUAUUUUCUUUCCAGUGCUCUUUAAGCACUUUGUGUAAGUGUCUAACUGUUCUAUAAUUAUUUCUUUUCAAGUUCUGAUUUCUCUACUGGAGGAGAUUCUUAAAGGUAUCCCAGUAGCUAGUAUAGUUCCUGGCAUUUAAUAGAUGCUUGGUAAGUAUUUGUUUACUGAAAUAGGAUAAUAGUUGUGGCAUAGUUCUACACAUGAGCCAUUUUUCCAAGGAGAGAGUCCACAUUAAGCUUUGUUUUUAAGCUGAUUAGAAUUCAUUAUGAACUGGAAAGUUAGUCCCUGGGGUGUCCUGGCUGGCCUUUCAAAAUCUUGACUAUGUCAUUCUAGGUUGGAAUUAGCACUGCCUGAAUUUGGGGCUGUAUCUGAACUGAUUCUCUUUAGAUACCAUCCAUGCAGUAUCUCUAGGACUGGGUGUUUACCAAGGUUCUUAGAGCAACCCGAAGAGACUAAAUGAAGCUUUCCUGAUUGGAGGUGUUGGACUUGUGGUGCCCUUUUCCCUCUCCCCUCCCUGUUUUCCCAGGUAAGUUUCCAUCCCAAAAUUCCUGUGGUUUUAAAGGAGAUCACUCUGGAAUAAAUCUCAAAAUCUGCCUCUAGUGGUCAAGAUUCCCUUUUAGUUUUCUCAGCUCUUCUCUGGUGAGAGGGCUAAUUGUGGGUUGUAGUACCAGCUUGGAUCCUUCCAUAUGCUUUGCUUAAGUCAUCAGAGUAACUCAUCUUUAGCUAAAUAAACUUGUGUAUAGAACAUAUAUAUGGGGCCUUCCUGAGGCUUCAUGAGUUUUGCUAUGUAUGCUCUGUAGAUGACUGGACAAACUACUUUAGGAAUAAAAGUUAUCAAUUCUGAUGCAGGUGAAAAUAUCUUGUCCCUGAGAAGCAUAACUAAGGCAUUUUUUAUCCCAAAUAAUCUAGUUUUAAUGAAUUGGUCUGAAGAUAUUCUUCCAUAAGAGAAGAAUAAAUAUAUUACGCCUUUUCCACCUAAAGUGUGAAUCACUUAAAGGCAGAAAUAAUUGUGAUCUCGACCUCCAGGGUUCUUGUUUCUGGGAUUGCCUUAUACCUGAUGCUCAGGGAGCAUUUUCAGUGGCUUGGACUGAGUACUUACUGUCUGAUCUCUGAGCAUUCACUGCUGGAUUAAAAGGGAGAGAAAGUGAAGUGAGAGGGUGGAGGGUGAGGAAGCUGAAAAAGUGAGAGGAAACAGCUGGGAACUGGGGAAAGGAGAGGUACUUACGUAAAGUCAGUAAAACAGAAAGCUAGCAGAGGACAGGGUCAGGCCUGAGGGUAGAGGGCUAAUUCUGUCGACCAGUUGAGUAGAUCCUUGUGUGCUUUGUUGCAGAGACUAAAGUUACUUCAAAGGAGAAAUCUCGAUUUUCUGAAUCUGACCUGUCCUUAUGUACUGUAGUAAAUUGUUCAAGUCAAAAUCUAUCCAGCCCUCUAGGAAUUCUGGGCCUCUUCAGGUCUAGCAAAGAGCUUGCUGCCACUGCUCAGGCUGCCACUGCUCAGCCAAGGGUGAAAUGCUUCAAGUAGUACUUGUGGGCUGCACCUAAGCUUGAUGUUUUAUUACACAGCUUAGGGAGUAAAUGCUGAGUACCACUGUUGUUCCUUUGUAGAGGUCUAACAACCAGCUUGCCAGGUUCCCUGCACCUGCUCAUAUGCCUGGACCAGAUGACUGACUGUAGAACUUUAGGCAGCUUCUAGUUCAGAGACUUCUCUGGGGGCUAAGAAACAUCUUUAGAGAAGCAAAUCCCUCUCCUGGAACGUUAGCCUGAUCUUAUGCUGGCCUUGUGUUGCCAUCUCUUGGCAUUGCUGUCUAGAAUGGAGCAGCCUUCCUAAAGCUUAAUCUAACUGGUCUUGUGAUGUCACAUCAGUGUCUUAGGUCACCACUGCUCACUUCCCUCACCCAGGGGACAUAAUGCAUAGGUUCCUCAACACCUGUUUCAUUAUUCUGUUUUCUUCACCACCAGGAAUGGAGGGAUCCUCAGUUGAAGAUCAAAUUGACCCAAUGAGGCUCUUUUUUUUUUUUUAUCUAGGCCAAUCAAAGGGAGAGGAAGGAGUACCAACUCAGAAAGAGGGAGCCAUAAAAUCUGCAGGUAUUAAUAUGCUAACUCUUUGGAGACUUCUGAGAAACAGAAUCCUAUCUGAACUCUGAACUAUCCUGAAGUCUGUUAUGAAGAAGAAAUUGAAGAGAUGUUUCUGUUGGAGUUUGGGCUGACUGGUUCCCUGAUGUGUUACCUGCUUCUGCCACUGAUCCAAACUCCAGAACUUCUCAGUCAUCCCCAAGGCCUCCAGGCAUAUCCAAUAGGGAAUCAACUCUCAAAGGAACCACACCAACGUUUUCCAGCCCCUUUAUUCUGCUGACUGAGGGAAGGAAAGAGUGGGAAGGGGAUAUACACGCGUGGUGGAUGGAAGGGAAACACAGACUGUCAGAUUACUAUACCUAUUCAGCUGCUUUUACUAACAGAACUUUGCAAUCAUACUUUUGUUGUAUAUGUAUCGGGGAAGUUGGAGAUAGUAACGUUGAUUAGAAUGUGACUUGAGAGGAAUAAAUGGAGGGGAUGAGAUAAGGGACUGUCGGUUGUGAAAGAUGUUGAAGUCUUGAAAUAAUGUGACCAUCUGAGGAAUUUUUUUUAAACCAGAGUUGAUAAAAAUAUCACUGAUAGAGCCUGCCCCCUCACUUCCCACCACAGACUACUUGGAUUGGAGGCACUUUUUUAAUAAUAGCUUGUCUCUGAUAUUCCCAGUAACUACCCGUAUGUGAGAAAAGAUAGAAAAUGUUCAGGUCAUCCUCAUAUAAAGUUCCAGUAGCAGUGACGCCUACACGGAAGACUUGGAACUGCAAACAGAGGCUGGGGUCACCACAGUGACAUCUGACGCUGUCCAACCAGAAGUUCGAGUUUUGUGUUGGGGGGUGAGGAAGCGGACUGUACUAAACUACUAAAUAAUUUCUUGUCUAUA